UAAACUUAAAGGACAAAAACUGUAAAUUUCCCUCUAUUAUAAGUACCAGUACUCCAUUAAAUCCCCAAAAUGAGUUGAAUUGAAUCAUCAGCCCAGAAAAAGAAGAAUGAGAGUUGCAGAGAGAUGUAUGGGAAUUCUUAUAAAGGGCGGUUACCCCUCUCUCUAAACUCGCAUGAUUUCUUCAAGAAAAAGAAAAGAAAAAAAAAAACAGCCCUUGAAGCAGAAGAAGUAAGAAGAAGCCAUAGUUAUCACACUGUGUGUGUGUUUUUUCAUGGGUCGAUGCCAUUCGCUCGUAUAUCUGUAUGUAAUGUGUAAUGGAGGCUGUGAUGAUUAUUUUUCUUGGAUUCUUUUUUUUUUCUGGGCUGAUGAAUUUCAUCGGGCAUUUGAGAUCUAGCCCACCCGUAUCUUGGCGGGGCGACCCGGAUGGCCUUUAUAGGCAACCGGUUUUUUUCAGUUGCCAUGGCGUGGUGGGUGCUCUCUUUUGCCUGCUUCAACUACAGAUCUGAGCCUCAAAUUUAUUUUAAUUUUGUU
rnacentral:lncRNA from 1 species